CAGCGUUGUAGCGUAAGGUUAAUAUUUACUAUGACUCGUUCAUAACUUAACGAAUCGGUGUAGUGUAUUGAGAGUCAGUAGUGUGUAUAACUAUGGAAGGGAUUUAAACACGUUAAAAAUGUGGAAAUCGGAAGUGAGAUAUGUCGAAUAUUAGGGUCGCAGUGAGGGUCCGCCCCCUCAGUCAAAGAGAAAAAGAUGAAGGUGGUCAGAAAAUUGUAGAAACAGGACAGAAUGUAGUCAGCAUAGAAAAUAUCAAGGUCCUUGGGAUACCUGACUAUGGCGACACAAGAUCGCGAGUGAGGAACUUCACUUUCGACUACGUGUAUGACUGUCAGAAAGGAGAUGAGGCAAAUGCUUCACAGUCACAGGU